AGAGCGCCCGUUACAAGCACGAUGUUCGUUGACGUUAGAACGUGUGUCCUUAGCCCAUGUAUGGUGGUGGGCGGUGGGUUACGUCUGCAGUGGCUGAGUGCUUUUACCCUCUUGAAGACCUCGACCUCCGGUCUGGCACACCCCGAAUAAACACUGGAGGAAGACAGCCCUGCAGGGAGAUGAUAACGUAGGACCUUGGUAUCAUUCUGCAGAGGUGUCUCCCACUUUCUGAACGUUUGCUUUACGACAUUUCGCUUUUAUGAAAGACCUAUGCCAGAACCUGUUUUCGCUAACUGAAAGAGGAUUUGUGCUUUUACAAAAAAAGACACCCGCUUUAAGCUUGUGUUUACCCCGAGAAAGACUACCAUGACCAUGAAGCCUUGCACGGGCAGGUAGUCCCCGAGUUAGGAACGUCCAACUUACAAACCGAGGAAGGAGAACGCCGCCUGCUCUUUUAAGUCGGAUUGUGAUGCUGUCUGCCAUUUUAAGUCGUUGCCGUUGACACUGCUGAGAAAUGUUGCUGUGACAUCAGGAGGAUGGUUCUUUUAUCCUUUGAAUAUCCCUUCCAUAGGAUAUGAAAUCUGGACUGUUGGUUUACCAUCUUAUCUCUGACAAUGAAUCACAUUUUUAAUAUGGCUUCAGCUCAGAUAAAGUGUCCAUGUUCCUGAAAAGGGAUCCAUGUUCUCAAACGACUAACAUGGUGGUUGGACUGAACAAAUUGUGACAUAUUAAUCACAUAGUUUUCACAAAUGUGUUUUAGGACAUGAUGAUUUGUAUUGGUGGUGCUGUUGUAAGAACAAAGGAAACCUUUUGGCUGCUUGUUCCUGCUUUGUUGUUAAUUCAUAUCAGGACUAAUCUUUGACCUCAGCAUCACUUUGCUGUACUAAGUUAUAUAUCCCUCUACUUCCUUUAUUAUUGAAAAGAACUAUCAAACACUAACCAGGAGGAAGUAUGCAGAUGCUAGAAAUCCAGACCAAUACACUUGGCAGGUUGGAUAGCAUCAAUGGAAAUUAAUAUGUAGUUUUACGUUUGGGCAAGGUUCUUCUUCAGGACUGAGAAGUAAGGGGGACGAUGCCAGAAUAGAAAGGUAGGGCAAGAGGAAUGAGGAAGCCGAUAAGCGAUCCCAGGUGGGUGGGAAAAUCAAGGUUGGAGUGGAAGGAAUAUAAUAGGAGAGUGGACCACAGGAGAAAGGGAAGGAGGAGGAAUUAAUAGACGGGUAAGAAGUAUAAAGUCAGAGUGGUGAAUAGAUCAGUGGUGGGGGGGGGGGAAGAAGAAGUUUUAAUUACUGGAAGGAGAAAUUAAUAUUUAUGCCAUCAGAUUGGAGGCUGUCCAGCUGGAAAAUAGGGUAUUCUGCACCCUGAGGAUAGAAUUCCAAAGAUACACUACCGUCUGGGUGAAGGCAUAUCUAGUCAUCUCUGUUGUUUAUGACUAGCCUCUUAUUUUGACUCCCUCUUUCUUGGUUCAAGACGUCCCAGUCUGAUGAAAAUCAUUCUGCAUAUCAGUUUUGAGUAUUUGAAUGGAAUCUCUUUACUCCAAAGUGUAGGUCUAGUUCAUCUUUUGGAAUAAUCAAUGGCAUUGCAGAAAUAAUUUUGUUUAACAUUUUUUGUGCUCCUUCUGUUUUCUCCAAUGCUGAAUGUUCCCUCAAGACACUUGUGUAAGGUUCUGCUAAGACAUUGAUUCCUGUACUCAAAUACUUUUGCAAUAAAAGCUAACGUACCAAUUA